rnacentral:rRNA from 1 species
GACGAACGCUGGCGGCGUGCUUAACACAUGCAAGUCGAACGGAAAGGCCUCUUUCGGGGGGUACUCGAGUGGCGAACGGGUGAGUAACACGUGAGUAACCUGCCCUUGACUUUGGGAUAACUUCAGGAAACUGGGGCUAAUACCGGAUAGGAGCUCCUGCUGCAUGGUGGGGGUUGGAAAGUUUCGGCGGUUGGGGAUGGACUCGCGGCUUAUCAGCUUGUUGGUGGGGUAGUGGCUUACCAAGGCUUUGACGGGUAGCCGGCCUGAGAGGGUGACCGGCCACAUUGGGACUGAGAUACGGCCCAGACUCCUACGGGAGGCAGCAGUGGGGAAUAUUGCACAAUGGGUGGAAGCCUGAUGCAGCAACGCCGGGUGCGGGAGGACGGCCUUCGGGUUGGAAACCGCUUUCGCUCAUGACGAAGCUUUGUGUGACGGUAGUGGGUAAAGAAGCACCGGCUAACUACGUG